rnacentral:rRNA from 1 species
GAUGAACGCUGGCGGCGUGCCUAAUACAUGCAAGUCGAGCGAACAGACGAGGAGCUUGCUCCUCUGACGUUAGCGGCGGACGUGUGAGUAACACGUGGAUAACCUACCUAUAAGACUGGGAUAACUUCGGGAAACCGGAGCUAAUACCGGAUAAUAUCUUGAACCGCAUGGUUCAAUAGUGAAAGACGGUUUUGCUGUCACUUCUAGAUGGAUCCGCGCCGCAUUGGCUAGUUGGUAAGGUCACGGCUUACCAAGGCAACGAUGCGUAGCCGACCUGAGAGAGUGAUAGGCCACCCUGGAGGGGGAACAGGGUCAAGACUCCUGCGGGAGGCACCAGUAGGGAAUCUGCCGCAAUGGGCGAAAACCUGACGGAGCAGCGCGACGUGAGUGAUGAAGAUCUUCGGAGCGUAAAACUCUGUUAUUAGGGAAAAACAAAUGUCUACGUAACUAUGCACGUCGUGACGGUACCUAAUCAGAAAGCCACGGCUAACUACGUG